rnacentral:rRNA from 1 species
UUUUAUUGUUUAUAUAGAUUUUAUAAUUUUUUAAUUUCUUUAUUAAUAUGUUAUAUUAAAUUAAAAUUUAUAAGUAAUUAUGAUUAAAUUAGUAUAAAUUGUUGUAAAAUAAAUUAUAAUUUUAAGAUUAAAUUAAGGAAUUCGGCAAAUUUAUUUUCUGCCUGUUUAUUAAAAACAUGUCUUUUUGUAAUUAUUUAAAGUCGGGCCUGCCCUAUGAUUAUUUAAAUGGCCGCGGUAUUUUGACCGUGCAAAGGUAGCAUAAUAAUUAGUUUCUUAAUUAGAAGCUGGUAUGAAGGGUUUGACAAGAAAAUUUCUGUCUCAAUUUAAAUAUUAGAAUUUAACUUUUGAGUUAAAAGGCUUAAAUUUUUUUAAAAGACGAGAAGACCCUAUAGAAUUUUACUUUUAAUUUAUUUAAAAUUUUAUGGUUUAUUUAUUUUUAGUUAAAUUAUUUGUUUUGUUGGGGUGAUGGAAAAACUAAAAUAACUUUUUCUUAUUUUAUUCAUUAAUUUAUGA